AUUGAACGCUGGCGGCAGGCCUAACACAUGCAAGUCGAGCGGAGCGGCGGACGGGUGAGUAAUGCCUAGGAAUCUGCCUGGUAGUGGGGGAUAACGUCCGGAAACGGGCGCUAAUACCGCAUACUAUCAGAUGAGCCUAGGUCGGAUUAGCUAGUUGGGGGGGUAAAGGCCUACCAAGGCGACGAUCCGUAACUGGUCUGAGAGGGUGAUCAGUCACACUGGAACGGAGACACGGUCCAGACUCCUACGGGAGGCAGCAGUGGGGAAUAUUGGACAAUGGGCGAAAGCCUGAUCCAGCCAUGCCGCGUGUGUGAAGAAGGCCUUCGGGUUGUAAAGCCCUUUUGUUGGGAAAGCGGUACCCAAAGAAUAAGCAACGGCUAACUUCGUGCCAGCAGCCGCGGUAAUAC
rnacentral:rRNA from 1 species